ACUUAAGUAGUUUAAUAAAAAUAUCGAUUUGUGGUGUCGGUGAUAUAAAUUAUUUAUCUUAGGUU
rnacentral:tRNA from 1 species